rnacentral:rRNA from 1 species
UACAUAGGGGGCGAGCGUUGUCCGGAAUGACUGGGCGUAAAGGGUGUGUAGGCGGUAGUGUAAGUUAGAAGUGUAAUACCCAGGGCUUAACUCGGGUGCUGCUUCUAAUGCUGCAUUACUUGAGUGUCGGAGAGGAUAGUGGAAUUCCCAGUGUAGCGGUGGAAUGCAUAGAUAUUGGGAGGAACACCGGAGGCGAAAGCGGCUAUCUGGACGACAACUGACGCUGAGGCACGAAAGCGUGGGGAGCAAG